UCGGGAAUUUUGGGCAAUGGGCGCAAGCCUGAUCCAGCCAUACCGCGUGAGUGAAGAAGGCCUUCGGGUUGUAAAGCUCUUUCAGACGGAAAGAAACGGUUACGGCUAAUACCCGUGACUAAUGACGGUACCGUAAGAAGAAGCACCGGCUAACUACGUGCCAGCAGCCGCGGUAAUACGUAGGGUGCGAGCGUUAAUCGGAAUUACUGGGCGUAAAGCGUGCGCAGGCGGUUUGGUAAGACAGAUGUGAAAUCCCCGGGCUUAACCUGGGAACUGCAUUUGUGACUGCCAGACUAGAGUGUAGCAGAGGGGGGUAGAAUUCCACGUGUAGCAGUGAAAUGCGUAGAUAUGUGGAGGAAUACCGAUGGCGAAGGCAGCCCCCUGGGCUAACACUGACGCUCAUGCACGAAAGCGUGGGGAGCAAACAGGAUUAGAUACCCAUGUAGUCCCUGAGCGGGCUGGCAAGGCGCAU
rnacentral:rRNA from 1 species